UCUACUGUGCAGGACCGCCAUUUUUAAAGGGACAGGAAACGUGGGUUUUGUUGUUGUUUUUGUUUUUCUUCUGGGAAUCAACCUAGGUUCUUGCACGAACUAAGCAAGCACUGCACCCCUGGAGCUACACAGCCACAGCCGUUACUAGGCUAAGACAGAAUUGCCAAAUUGAGGCAAUCUUGGUUUCAUCCCCAGAGCCUGCAUGGUAGGAGAGACUUCUACCACGCACUGAACUCUGACUGCCACCUGUACUGCUUGACACAUACACAAAACAGAUGAACAAAAUAAAGAUUACCAAGUCUA